rnacentral:misc_RNA from 1 species
GAUGAAGAACGUAGCGAAAUGCGAUAAGUAGUGUGAAUUGCAGAAUUCGGUGAAUCAUCGAAUCUUUGAACGCACAUUGCGCCUUCUAGUAUUCUGGGAGGCAUGCCUGUUUGAGCGUCAUUAAACCUCUCUCAAGUAUGAUUACUUGGAUGUGAAGGAAGAGUACCUUAAACUUAAGGAGUGUUCUCCUUUGAAAUUGAUUAGCAGAUGGUAAUGUUAUUAAAUCCCUGAUGUUGUAAGAAAUAACAGUGGUUUUGUAGACUAUUAUCUAGCUUUAAAUUAUAAUUUUUAUUAUGGUUGACCUCAAAUCAGGUAAGGAUACCCGCUGAACUUAAGCAUAUCAAUAAGCGGAGGA